rnacentral:tRNA from 1 species
UGUUAAUGUGGCAGAUAAGUGCCUUGAAUUUAAGCUUCAUUUAUAGAGUUNAGCUCUUUUUAA